rnacentral:rRNA from 1 species
UGAGUAACGCGUGGGUAACCUGCCCUAAAGACCGGGAUAACAGCGGGAAACCGCUGCUAAUACCGGAUACCUUUACUGGGGGGCAUCCUCUGGUAAAGAAAGGAGCAAUCCGCUUUAGGAUGGGCCCGCGUCCCAUUAGCUAGUUGGUGAGGUAACGGCUCACCAAGGCGACGAUGGGUAGCCGGCCUGAGAGGGUGAACGGCCACACUGGGACUGAGACACGGCCCAGACUCCUACGGGAGGCAGCAGUAGGGAAUCUUGCGCAAUGGGCGAAAGCCUGACGCAGCGACGCCGCGUGAGCGAAGAAGGCCUUCGGGUCGUAAAGCUCUGUCCUCAGGGAAGAAGGAAGUGACGGUACCUGAGGAGGAAGCCCCGGCUAACUACGUGCCAGCAGCCGCGGUAAUACGUAGGGGGCGAGCGUUGUCCGGAAUUACUGGGCGUAAAGGGUGCGUAGGCGGCCCUUUAAGUCGGGUGUGAA